rnacentral:misc_RNA from 1 species
GAUGAAGAACGCAGCGAAAUGCGAUACGUAAUGUGAAUUGCAAAUUCAGUGAAUCAUCGAGUCUUUGAACGCACAUUGCGCCCCCUGGUAUUCCGGGGGGCAUGCCUGUCCGAGCGUCAUUGCUGCCCUCAAGCCCGGCUUGUGUGUUGGGCCCCGUCCCCCGAUCUCCGGGGGACGGGCCCGAAAGGCAGCGGCGGCACCGCGUCCGGUCCUCGAGCGUAUGGGGCUUUGUCACCCGCUCUGUAGGCCCGGCCGGCGCUUGCCGAUCAACCCAAAUUUUUAUCCAGGUUGACCUCGGAUCAGGUAGGGAUACCCGCUGAACUUAAGCAUAUCAAUAAGCGGAGGA